UCCUAGGUAGCACAGUGGGUUGAGGAUAUGGCAUUGUCACUGCUGUGGCCCAGGUUCGAUCCCUGACCCAGGAA
rnacentral:tRNA from 1 species